AACGAACGCUGGCGGCAUGCCUAACACAUGCAAGUCGAACGGGAGUCCUGGUUUCGGCCAGGUGAGAGUGGCGGACGGGUGAGUAACGCGUGGGAACCUGCCCAGUGGUGGGGGAUAACUGCGGGAAACUGCAGCUAAUACCGCAUGAGCCCGCAAGGGGAAAGAUUGAUCGCCAUUGGAGGGGCCCGCGUUCGAUUAGGUAGUUGGUGAGGUAACGGCUCACCAAGCCUACGAUCGAUAGCUGGUCUGAGAGGAUGAUCAGCCACACUGGGACUGAGAUACGGCCCAGACUCCUACGGGAGGCAGCAGUGGGAUA
rnacentral:rRNA from 1 species